rnacentral:rRNA from 1 species
UGAGUACGCAUAGGUUCAGGCUGUGAUUCAGAUGUGUGUGGUCACCUAGUACGUGCGGCGUUGAUGUUGUACAUGCUGGUACACAUGCAUUGCAUUUGGCAGCCUGACACUCUGCUUGGCUUCGUUCCAGCCGCAGCCACAGUGAAGUACGCCUCUUCCUCGUGAAGGUGGACGUGUCACUAGUAGUGUUGCUAAGCGCACGCGCGUGGGUAACUGUUUUAUUACAGUUGUCGGUUGUGACGGAGUUUGGCAAACUCUCGUUCACAGAGCCACUCGAUAGGCCUUCCGACCGGUGAUGAGCUGCUGGCGUGUUUACACGUCACAGUAUGUCUAGCCGGUCUAUGGGAUGCUGUUAUCGGCUAUGUGGAUGUUGAAAGCAGGUAUUGUUGCGGCAUCAUUCGAACCGUCUUGAAACACGGGCUAAGGAGUUCAACAAAUGCGCGAGUUUGCUGGUAUAAUGAAACCAGAAGGCGAAGUUAACGCGACUUUGUGAUUAAUGGUGAGAACUCGUCUGCUGCAAAGUACGGCGGGGUCAUCACCUAUGAUGGAUGGCAUAUUGAGUACCGGUUGUCGUUCGCAGUCGAGCGCAUAUGCUGAGACCCGAAAGAUGGUGAACUAUGCCUGAGUAGGAUGAAGCCGGAGGAAACUCUGGUGGAGGUCCGAAGCGUUUUUGACGUGCAAAUCAAUCGUCAGACUUGGGU